CUUAUCUCCAUUGGCGCGCUUUUGGUAGAAAAGAAGGAAGAAGAAGACGAUAACGUCCAAUCCGAGCCGUUGAAAUUUAAAAAAAGAAAAAAGAAAAAAAGAAGAAAUGGCGUUAAAAAUCCACCACCGUCCGUUGCCCUCUCCUCAUCUCGCCUUCUCCUUCCUCUCCUCAUCUCCUUCUCCAAACCUCUUCAUCAAAUCCAGCAAUUUCAAAACCCUAAUCCUAAGAUCCAAACCCUCAAGAACCAUUCGGAGAUCUCCGAUCUCGGCAGCACUUCCUCCUCUCGAUCUGACGGAGGAGAACAUCCGGCAGGUCCUACUCGAUGCUCGGUCUGAGUUUGCACAGAUAUUUGAUACUUCUGUUGGCAUGACAGGAGAAGCUGAGCUCGCUGAAGUGGAUGGGCCCUUUGUGAAGCUCACCCUCAGAGGUCGGUUUUGGCACCAGCGAUCCAUGGUUUUAGCGAGGCUUGGUAAUUACCUGAAAAAUAGAAUCCCUGAGAUUUUGGAGGUGGAUAUAGAAGAUGAAAAACAAUUAGAUGACAGCCCUGAGAACUUCUGAGGGUACAGAUCUUUUGUGCAUUGACUGUCUAAUGCUUGUUAUCUUUGGUGGGCUCAUGCAAAGCUGUAAAGCAAGCCUUUUGAUAUCCAUUUUCCCAAGUCGAUUAAUUGCUACCUUGAAAGAGUCCUUGAAUGCGGGUGAUAAGACAAUGCCAGCUGCCUGAUUAUGAAGAUGGUAGGGAAUAUGAGCUCACAUCUCUAGAUGAUAGCCAGCCUGGGAAAUGACAAUCGGUUUUCUUCAUGUGAAAGGUGGAAAGUCACCACAUGGAUUGUGCAUUUAGUUACAACGCCGGCUCUCCUAUAGGGGAGGCAAUGGGAUGGGUUUGGGCUCGCCGGAUCAGCACAAGUAAAUCCCUAUUUCUGAAGGUGAGUGUUCCUAAUCCAUCCAUUGAUCAGUUGGACUGUACAUGCACAAAGAACUUGACAAUGAGAAAAGUGAAAACUAACAUUCGAAAUGCGAUGUGGCAAGUGAUUGAAACUGA